rnacentral:rRNA from 1 species
UACGGAGGGUGCAAGCGUUGCUCGGAAUCACUGGGCGUAAAGCGACCGCAGGCGGUCUGACAAGUCGGAUGUGAAGGCCCUGGGCUCAACUCAGGAACUGCAUUCGAAACUGGCAGACUCGAGUACGGGAGAGGGGGGUGGAAUUCCUGGUGUAGGGGUGAAAUUCGUUGAUAUCAGGAGGAACACCGGCGGCGAAGGCGGCCCCCUGGCCCGCAACUGACGCUCAUGGUCGAAAGCGUGGGGAGCAAACAGG